AUGGCUCAGUGAGGCCUUGGGACUGGCUCAGAGAGGUCGGCAACGACCACUCAGAGCCGGAAACUUGGUCAAACUUGGUCAUUUAGAGGAAGUAAAAGUCGUAACAAGGUUUCCGUAGGUGAACCUGCGGAAGGAUCAUUAACGAGUUAGGGUCCCCUGGGCCCGACCUCCCAACCCUUUGUUUACUGAACCUUUUGUUGCUUCGGCGGGCCCGUCGUCUCGCGACGACCGCCGGAGGACCGCCGAGAGGCGUCCUCUGGCCCGCGCCCGCCGGUGGCCAGCACAUAAACUCUGAACAUGAACCGUGUCUGUAUUCUAAGUAUCUUGAUACCAAUCAAAAAAUAAAAACUUUCAACAACGGAUCUCUUGGUUCUGGCAUCGAUGAAGAACGCAGCGAAAUGCGAUAAGUAAUGCGAAUUGCAGAAUUUCAGUGAGUCAUCGAAUCUUUGAACGCACAUUGCGCCCUUUGGUAUUCCGAAGGGCAUGCCUGUUCGAGCGUCAUUAUCACCCCUCGAGCCCCCGGGCUUGGUGUUGGACGGCUUGGUCGCGACGCUUCCGGCGGCGACCCCUCCUAAAGACAAUGACGGCGGUCCCGUGGAGCCCCCGGUACAGUGAGCUUCUUAACUGAGCACGUAUCGGAUUUUAGGGCGCCCGGGCCACGGUCCUCUCUCGUCCCGCGACGGGAGACCCCCCCUUUUUUAUCAAGGUUGACCUCGGAUCAGGUAGGAAUACCCGCUGAACUUAAGCAUAUCAAUAAGCGGAGGAAAAGAAACCAACAGGGAUUGCCUCAGUAACGGCGAGUGAAGCGGCAACAGCUCAAAUUUGAAAUCUGGCCUCUCGGGGUCCGAGUUGUAAUUUGUAGAGGAUGUUUCGGGUACCGCCCCGGUCUAAAUUUCUUGGAACAGAAUGUCAUAGAGGGUGAGAAUCCCGUCUUGGACCGGCGGUAGGGCCUAUGUGAAACUCCUUCGACGAGUCGAGUUGUUUGGGAAUGCAGCUCAAAAUGGGUGGUAAAUUUCAUCUAAAGCUAAAUAUUGGCCAGAGACCGAUAGCGCACAAGUAGAGUGAUCGAAAGAUGAAAAGCACUUUGAAAAGAGAGUUAAACAGUAUGUGAAAUUGUUGAAAGGGAAGCGCUGGCAACCAGACUUGCGCGCGGCGGUUCCCCCUGCCUUCUGGCUGGGUUAUUCCGCCGUGUCCAGGCCAACAUCGGUUCUGGGGGUCGGUUAAAGGCCUUGGGAAUGUAUCUACCCUCCGGGCGUAGACUUAUAGCCCAGGGCGUCAUGCGACCUCCCGGGACCGAGGAACGCGCUUCGGCUCGGAUGUUGGCGUAAUGGUUGUCAGCGACCCGUCUUGAAACACGGACCAAGGAGUCUAACAUCUAUGCGAGUGUUUGGGUGUCAAACCCGGAACGCGAAAUGAAAGUGAACGGAGGUAGGAAGCUUCGGCUGCACUAUCGACCGAUCCUGAAGUUUACGGAAGGAUUUGAGUAAGAGCAUAGCUGUUGGGACCCGAAAGAUGGUGAACUAUGCCUGAAUAGGGUGAAGCCAGAGGAAACUCUGGUGGAGGCUCGCAGCGGUUCUGACGUGCAAAUCGAUCGUCAAAUUUGGGUAUAGGGGCGAAAGACUAAUCGAAC
rnacentral:rRNA from 1 species